GGUGUCCUGGCGCAAUGGUAGCGCGUUGGUUUUCGGUUCGCGCUGAAACUCGCCAAAGGUUGUAGGUUCGAGCCCUGCGGACAUCG
rnacentral:tRNA from 2 species